rnacentral:rRNA from 1 species
GAGCGAGACCCACGCCCACAGUUGCCAGCGUACUCUCCGGAGUGACGGGUACACUGUGGGGACCGCCGCUGCUAAAGCGGAGGAAGGAAUGGGCAACCGGUAGGUCAGUAUGCCCCGAAUAUCCCGGGCUACACGCGAGCUACAAUGGUUGGUACAAUGGGUAUCUACCCCGAAAGGGGACGGGAAUACUCCUAGAACCAAUCUUAGUUCGGAUUGAGGGCUGCAACUCGCCCUCAUGAAGCUGGAAUCCGUAGUAAUCGCGUUUCAACAGAACGCGGUGAAUACGUCCCUGCUCCUU